rnacentral:tRNA from 1 species
GGUUGUGGCUCAGUGGUAGAGCACUUGCCUAGCAUGUAUGAGGCACUGGCUUCAAUUCUCAGCACCA